AAUGUGCAAUGCCAACAUGUCUGUGUCUACUGAUGGUGCUGUAAGCACCUCACGGAUUCCAGCUUCAGAACAAGAGACCCUGGUUAGACCAAAGCCAUUGCUUUUAAAGUUGUUAAAGUCUGUUGGUGCACAAAAAGACACUUACACUAUGAAAGAGGUUAUAUUUUAUCUUGGCCAGUAUAUUAUGACUAAACUAUUAUAUGAUGAGAAGCAAAAACAUAUUGUAUAUUGUUCAAAUGAUCUUCUAGGAGAUUUGUUUGAAGUGCCAAGCUUCUCUGUGAAGGAGCAUAGGAGAAUAUAUACAAUGAUCUACAAAAAUUUGGUGGUAGCCAAUCAGCAGGAACCAUCAGAUUCCAGCACAUUAGUGAGUGAGAACAGGUGUCACCUUGAAGGUGGGAGUGAUCAGAAGAACCUUGUGCAAGAACUACAAGAAGAGAAGCUUUCAUUUUCCUGUUUGGUUUCUAGACCAUCUACUUUAUCUAGAAGGAGAGCAAUUAGUGAGACAGAAGAAAAUUCAGAUGAAUUAUCUGGUGAAUGAUGAAAGUGCCACAAAUCUGAUAGUAUUUCCCUUUCCUUUGAUGAAAGCCUGGCUCUGUGUGUAAUAAGGGAAAUAUGUUGUGAAAGAAGCAGUAGCAGUGAAUCAAUAGAGACUCCUUCAAAUCCGGAUAUUGAAGACGGUGUGAGUGAAAAUUCCAGUAAUUGAUUGAAUCAGGACUCAGUUUCAGAUCAAUUUAGUGUAGAAUUUGAAGUUGAAUCUCUUGAUUCAGAGGAAACAGCCUUAGUGAAGAAGGACAAGAACUCUCAGAUGAAGAUAAUGAGGUAUAUCAAGUUAUUGUGUAUCAGGCAGGGGAAAGUGAUACGGAUUCAUUUGAAGAAGAUCUUGAAAUUUUCUUAGCUGACUAUUGGAAGUGUACUUCAUGCAAUGAAAUGAAUCCUCCCCUUCCACCACAUUGCAAUAGAUGUUGGGACUUUUAUGAGAACUGGCUUGGAUGUGCCUGAUGGUUAAAAAAAAAAGAAAAAGAAAAAGAAAAAAACUACAGCAAAUAAUUCCAAAGAAUCAUGUUUUGAAGAAAAUGAUAAGAUCACACAAGCCUCCUGGCCACAAGAAUGUGAGGACUAUUCUCAGCCAUCAACUUCAAAUAGCAUUAUUUAUAGCAGUCAAUAAGAUGUCAAAGAGUUUGAGAAGGAAGAAACACAAGACAAAGAAGAAAGUAUGGAGUCCAGUUUCCCCCUUAAUGCCAUUGAACCUUGUGUGAUUUGCCAAGGUCAACCUAAAAAUGGUUGCAUUGUUCAUGGUAAAACAGGACAUCUUAUGGCAGGCUUCACAUGUGCCAAGAAGCUGAAGAAAAGGAAUAAGCCCUGUCCAGUGUGCAGACAACCAAUUCAAAUGAUUGUGUUAACUUAUUUCAACUAGCUGCCUUGUCAUAAAAGUAGAAUUAUAUAUUUCUAGUUAUAACCCUAAAUAUUU